rnacentral:lncRNA from 10 species
UUUCUAAAUUGUAACUAUUAAAACAUUUUUAAAUUGUGGAAUUAAUAAAACUCUAUUACUAAUGUUCCAAAGAGAGCACAAGCCAGAUAUUUCAAUUGAAGGAAUUUAAUAAAAGUAAUUCACUAUAGAGUUGCUGGAGGGGCUGAAAAUAGGUGAGGUGCUGCUACUCUUAGGGUCAUAAAGGGAAAAGAUGGGAGUCCAGAUUGACUAACAGGUGGGAGCUAGAACUACGAAGAAAGUCUGGUGGGAGCUGGGACCACGACAUGGGCUGCAACUACGAUGGAGCUGUUGGAGGUACUACGUGAGGGAUGAGGAGGUGGGCCGCUCUCCCCUCCCACCCUCCAGUUUCCACCAGUGCUGCCCAUUGAUUUAACCUUAAUGGAAGCCAGUGAGCAAGAGCAUCUGGGAAUUAUAACUUGUAGAGAUUAGCUCUCUACAGAGCAGAACGAGGGAAGGAAGUGUGAAUGGAUCUGACAGCCAACAGGCAAAUGACCAGUACAAACAGCAAACUUCAAAACCAUAUAUUUAUUUAUCAGGAUUACAAUUAGGUAUGCCACCUCCCCUAUAGAUAAGUAACUACCUGGGACCAGGGAUAGAGAUAAUUUGAAAGAGUCUUUGGCAAAUAAUUAAUCUGAGUGUACUUAGACCCGCACUUCUUCACACAAGCAGAUUAAUUGUUUUUUAGUGAAGUAUUCAAAUGCAGAAACACUAAGGACUUAGAAACCAAAAAUUAAUUAGCGUGGGAGGAAGAGACAGUGAAGCAGCCCCUUAAAAAUGGUCUUUCGGGUGGAAACACUUUAUUUGGGAAGCAAAGUGCAAGAUUCAGCAAUAGAAACCACUCAGUGUCCUUGGUGAAUGAUUUGAUCCUGGCCAUCAGAACCUUUACUUCAGCCAGCAAUAAACUCUUAGAAACAGAAGCUUCGAGGUAUGUACUCCUGUUCUGCACGAACAAGUUUUCUGGUUGAACAUGCUGAACCUCUUAAAAAAUUCAGAACAAGUUUUCUCAGAGUUUACAAAGGGAUUUCAAUCACAUGAAGAGAGGAAAACACACUGAGUCGUAACAGUGACAUCAAAAUACUUUUGAAGUUGACUGAAAAUGUGGUUGCUUUUGUUUGAGAAUGGCAAAUUAAAGAAUUGGAUAUUGGGUUCUUAUCUCAGAAGAAACAAAGGAGGAGACCCUGAAAAACUGAACAUGAAGAGGAAGAAGUGGAGUUAUGCAACUCUUCAUAAGAAAAUCUCCAUCUGUUUGGAGAAGUACUGCGUCCUUCCGGAUUAUCUUCUACACUAUGCCUUAUUGUUAUCUGGCUGGUUCCACCACCGGUCAGAAGAAUGAAAAUUGCAGAUACCUAUUCUGUGUGUUUCUCUCCAGAAUGGUGGAUGUUAGAGACCCUACUAAGGAUUUGUGGACUCACUAACGUAGUCUCUAAAAGGAAUGCACUUGGUAAAUAGGAGUUCAAUAACUGUUUGUUGAAGAAAGAAAAGAACUAUGGUGGGUCAGAUGAGAGACAAAAAUCACUCUGCAGAGAUACAGCAUGCAGGAGACCACCUCUGAGACUGAGGCAAGAGUGUGCCUGAAAUGCCAGGGGUUCGAUCUAGGUCCUGCUGUUCCCUGACACAGAAAGCCAAUGACUGACACAAUGAGUAUUGCCAAAGAAGAAGGCUUUCAUCGAGUGCUGCAGCCAAGGAAAUGGAAGAUCAGUUUCAAAUCCAUCUCCCUGAACAACUAAAAAUAGAGGUUUCUACAGCAGGGAAGAAAUGUGACUAUGCAUGGGAAAACAGGAAUUAGGGAGGGGUCAUGAGGCAAUCAUGAUGAAUGAGGGGUCUGACAUCCCAUUGGCUGGAUGUGGUUACAUGAUGAGUUUCUGUUCUUUGACACUUUUUGAAAGGCCUGAGGGCCCUUUCCUUACAAAGAAACUCAGAUAAAACCAAUGUGAGUUUCAAGCUUUAAGACCAGAAGAGUCCAUUUCUAUGUUACUAUAGGAAAAGAAAAAAACUGCCUAUGGGACUAUUGGGUUGGUUUCAAGAGGUUAUCUGAAAGGCAAGGCGGCCUCCAUAACUGCUUAUUUUCUUUUCUUUUGAAACUGUCAUUGUCUUCCCAACAUCUAGGCUUAUGAUCAUAUGGGUAAGCUUAGAUCAUACAUUCUGUCUACUCUACCCAGACCAGAAUCAUACAAUCAAAGACAUACAGAGUCAACUAGGUAAUAUAAGUGAGCAGAGUUGGACUGGAGUAAGGUCCAUGGAGGACUGCAACUAAACGGGUACAUCUUGUCUGGAGUUGGACUAAAUCAUUGUGAAGCUUUAAGUCAGAUUUUCUUAGUGUGUUAUUUAUACACCCUCCUGGCAUAUGAGUGACAGGAAAGUCAAAGUCAUUGACUCUCUAAUAUUUAUUGAGCACCUUCAAAUACUUUUUGAGUAUCUACUAUUAUUGGGCACCUACAAACACUUAUUGACCAUGUGCCAAGCACAGUGCCUAGCAAGUUCUUCUUUUCUAAUCAAAUCAACAGGUUGGACAUCCCUACCCAAGGCUCAAAUGGUAACAGGUCCAUGCCUUACUUGUGUCAGUUCUCUUAUUGAAAGAGCAUCUCCUAACCAUCCUACCAAUAAGGUAAAGGUGUUAUUUUGAAUCUGAAUCAAAAUGAACCUUCUCCAUAAAUCUCUUCCUCACUAGCUGGCCCAUACCUUAUUACCUUUUCUGGGUCCUUCCCUUAAUAAUUAGCACUGAGCUCACAAUUAUUGCUUUUUCUCUUAACAUGUUGCUUUGUAAUUGUCUCCAAGAUCCCCUCCUAUUUUUAUAUAUCCAAUUUACUAAAUCAUUCCUAUUUCUUCAGCAGCCCUGAAUGCAGCGCACUGUGAUUCAAUAAAUGUUUGUUAAUGAAGGGAACUACAAGCUGGUUGGGAAUCAAAUCUUUUCCCGUGGGAGUUACCAGGGAUAAAGUCAGUCAGACCCUUCUAUGGCCUGAGAAGUGCUGGGAGUAGCUUCCUUUAGAAGUUCAAUAAAAACAAGUCUCUGA